GAUCCGGCCGUGGUACGGGAGCGCCCGGUUUGCCCCCGCCGGAUCCGGCACCUGUAUGUACAAAACGCGGUGUGAAUGCAGCCUAAUUUGGUUUGCUGUGAGGUUGUGGCACAGCGGUUGACCCCUGGUGGGCAGUCAAGCAUAUAGUCAAGCACAGAUACCCUGCACAACAUAAAUAUAAAAACCUAAAAUGAGUAACUAAAAUAUGAUUAAACCACUGUCCCUUUAAAAAGGAAAUGUAUGUGACUUUGGUGUUCUCAGUAUUUACAAGAGACCCAAUGAGCAGGUCUCACCUCUUCUGGUGCACAGCCCGAACACUACAUCAUCCCCGCAGCAGUAGGCGACGAAAGUGUUCUGCUAGUGCCUAGAUACAAAUCAAGAGGUCUUGAUCUCAGUGCUAGGUAUGGACUCUAUUAAAGCUGUCCUUAGCAGAUAGAACAAGGAACCAAAAAAAAAAAAAAGCCACACAGACUAUAGAGCUGCUUACAUGCGGAUUAACAUUUCUAGUGUCAGCGGAGAUGGCCAUAGAUCAGGCAUUUCUACACUGUAGGAUUACAGGCACAGCCAGAGCUCUCAGGCUUGACGUAAGGAUAUAUAACAAAGCUAAAAUAGAUAAAGACACACGGGCAUUAUAUAAAAGGGGUUAAAAAAUAAAAAUAAAAUAAUAUAAUAAUAUCACAGUUUUAAAUAAAAAAAAAAAAUUUCACAUAUUUCCCAGAUCAACGAGUGCACAGGAUAUAGUAUACAAAGAGGCAUUUAACAUGGAUGAUGUGAAAAAGCCGUAUCUAGAAAUCAUAAGCAUUAAAAGAGGACCUGUCAGCUUUGCAGGUAUGUCCGUUCUGGUAAAACCUUGCUGCUCCUUAAAGGAGAUAUCUAGUGAAAAUUAAGGUAUCCGCUAUCCACAGGAUAGGGGAUAAGCAGCUGAUUGCGGGGGUUGGCCCCCCAUGAUCUCAGGACAGGACACAGCGCUGCCUUAACUUCUAUGGAAGCGCUGAAAAUACAGUACAGCACUUGGACAUCCUCCAUUCCCGGUAGACAACACGCGCUUCUCAAUGAGAGAGCCAGCGGGGUUCUGCCCUGGAGUUCGCGGGGUGGGGGGUGGUCCAGCGAUCGGACCCAACGCGAUCAGCUACUUAUCCCCUAUACCAGUGGUCUCCAACCUGCGGACCUCCAGAUGUUGCAAAACUACAACUCUCAGCAUGCCCGGACAGCCGUUGGCUGUCCGGGCAUGCUGGGAGUUGUAGUUUUGCAACAUCUGGAGGUCUACAGGUUGAAGACCACUGCCCUAUACUGUGGAUAAGUUAAUUUUCGCCAGAGUUCUCCUUUAAUACUGCGCUGCUCCUAUGUUACUCUUCUUUGGAAGCAUAGGAAUGAAAUACAAUGGGGGAGAUUUAUCAAAGCCUGUCCAGAGGAAGAGUGGCCCAGUUGCCCAUAGCAACCAAUCAGCUCUCGUUUCAUUUUUUUAACAAGGCCUCUGCAAAAUGAAAGAAGCAAUCUGAUUGGUUGCUAUGGGCAACUUUUCCUCUAGACAGGUUUUGAUAAAUCUCCCCCAAAUGCGUGGGACCGUCUCAGACAGUGUAGAUCGGUGGUCUCCAACUGGUGGCUCUCCAGCUGUUGCAAAACUACAACUCUCAGCAUGCCCUGACAGCCAAUGGCUGUAAGGCAAGCUGGGAGUUGUAGUUUUGCGACAGCUGAAGCGGUGUAGGUUAGAUAACACAGGUAUAGAUACACAUCUUGUUGACAAUACUAAAAAUAAAUUGACUAUUGGGUUUAAAAUUUCCAGGAGGAAUAACAGAGGGAAGAAAACAUGCUCCUGAUUUGUUAUUUUAUGGAAAAUACAAGCCUUUACUAAAACAUACAUGUCAGGAUGGGUCAUCUUUCAUUAUUGUCUUGCUCAUAAGAUGCAAGUAUUCUUCUGGGAAGAAGAUGAAGACAUAAAGAUGGAGGAAGAUAAAGACAUAGGGGGAGAUUUAUCAAAACCUGUGCAGAGGAAAACUUGCCCAGUUGCCCAUAGCAACCAAUCAGCUUGCUGCUUUCAUUUUUAUGAAGGCUUGUGAAAAAUGAAAGAAGCGAGCUGAUUGGUUGCUAUGGGCAACUGGGCAAGUUUCCCUCUGCACAGGUUUUGAUAAAUCUCCCUCAUAAAUCCUGGCUGUGGUGGGUUUACCAAGGUUCACCACGAAAAAAGAAAAAAAGGGUUCAGAAUCAAUGUCCUCUGUAGAGACUUGUGUAAUAGGCGUCCAAGGGGACUGUAACACAUGAAGAGUCCAGAAGCUUUGAAGGCAUUUGCUAAAGUGAAUGAAGGGCCGGCUGCUUGCACUCUUCCCUAUGCAAAAACACCCGUGGCUUUCUGGAGCAGUGGGAUCUGCAGGAUGGAAAAAAAAGAAAAUAAAAAAUUAGUAUAGAACAACACGAUGUAGAAACAACCAGAUGAACCUUCAUACUUUACAGAUUGCAGCAUGCACACAGAUCUCCAGUGCACUCACCUUAGUCAGAUCUACUCCAGUGAGAGCCUGAACCGAAACAGGAACUUCAGCCAACAGACGAUUCAUUUCCCCAGUUAUUUUACUGUUCUCUCCACUGAGAAUGACAAUUUCAUCCACUUUGGCCAACGGAGCAGACACUUUGGCAGCAAUCUGUGAAGAUAGAAUACACAAGUUAGAAAGAAUGACAACAAAUACACAGAAUGAGCCACCAUAAGAAUAAAAAUCUCAAAUUCCCGAAGCUAAGCGAUAGGUUCAAGAACCAAGUUCCUCAUGGAUAUCCUGAGAUUCCAAGAGCUUUCUUACUACAAAAGACCAUUCUGACAUUUUUGGAAGGGUCACAACACAUUUCAUGAUGGCAGAAAACCAUAUCCUGUAUAGUAUACACUUAUAAUAAACACAAUUAAUUAAAUCCAAGACUUGUCUGGUUCUC